ACCUGGUUGGUUUAGUCGGUAGAGCAUGUGACUCUUGAUCUAGGGGUGGUAGGUUCGAGCCCCACAUUGGGUG
rnacentral:tRNA from 1 species